CCGGAGGUGGUUCAGUGGUAGAACUCUCACCUUCCGUGUGGUAGACCCUGGUUUAAUUCCUGGCCAAUGCA
rnacentral:tRNA from 1 species